rnacentral:rRNA from 4 species
AAUCCAUAGGUUAAUGAGGCGAACCGGGGGAACUGAAACAUCUAAGUACCCCGAGGAAAAGAAAUCAACCGAGAUUCCCCCAGUAGCGGCGAGCGAACGGGGAGGAGCCCAGAGCCUGAAUCAGCAUGUGUGUUAGUGGAAGCGUCUGGAAAGGCGCGCGAUACAGGGUGACAGCCCCGUACACAAAAGCGCAUGUGCUGUGAGCUCGAUGAGUAGGGCGGGACACGUGGUAUCCUGUCUGAAUAUGGGGGGACCAUCCUCCAAGGCUAAAUACUCCUGACUGACCGAUAGUGAACCAGUACCGUGAGGGAAAGGCGAAAAGAACCCCGGCGAGGGGAGUGAAAAAGAACCUGAAACCGUGUACGUACAAGCAGUGGGAGCACAGGUUUACCUGUGUGACUGCGUACCUUUUGUAUAAUGGGUCAGCGACUUAUAUUCUGUAGCAAGGUUAACCGUAUAGGGGAGCCGGAGGGAAACCGAGUCUUAAU